AUUUGUGUUUCUCCCUCUCAAGGGCCCCAGGAAAUCAGCAAGCAGCCCACGUAGCUGAGAACAGCCAGGCAACCCCUCCUGACCUGAGAUUACUGCUAAUGAUAAGAGCUGGAAACACAGCUCCGUGCACGCGAGGAAGGGCCGCUCGACCCCCUGAGCACAUUCCUCUUCAGGAGAGAGUUGACCAAAGGAGGUAAUGUCACUUUGGCAGAAGUCACCCAAGAGUCCUGACCCUAGCAGAAUGUGUAUCAAACUCACUCUGGCUUCGCACCAUUGAUAUGAGGAGUGAAUGAACUAAUGUGCAGAGGGUGUUUCUCCAGAAGCUAUAACAGUAUUUACUGGCUUCAUGGGAGUCAGUUUGGAUCUUCAUCAACUGCCAGAGGUUCCUGAAGGAAUUUUCUUAGCAUUGGAGAGUGACGGAUGAUUUUGGAAAAGCAGGAGCUGGAGGAGGAGGCGAAGAGGUUUGGGGAAGAAGAUGGGGAGAGGAUCCCCUCUUUUCUUCUUGAACCUGAUCACCUCUCUACUCCUGAGCUGAGUUCCCUCUGCUUCCCUUCUCUUUAAUCCACCAGGUUCAGUGAUCCUCUUAGGGCCUGGGACAAAGGACCCUCAGCCCUGAAACUGGUUCUU